GCCCUUAAAAGAGACAAUAUGAAGCCUCCACUGAAGAACUAGUCUCUCGAUGCUGAAAAUGCCAUUAACUAUUUACUUGUGUUCAACCUUACUUUUUGUCAUCUUUAAUUUGGAAUCGGUGGCUGGACCUUUUUGAAACAAGAACCUGGAUUCAGAUAAAGCAUUGGGCACUUUGCUGGCUACAGAGCACUUGAUGACAAAGAGAACCUGGACCUGACCUCUUUCAACUCCUGUUCAUUAGAACAGAUGAUACGAACAUUUCAUUGGAAGGCACAGGAACAAGCUGAAAGCAUGGCAAAACCUAGAGAGGAGGCUCCUUGUCCUUCAGAACUACAACUUACUGUUGUUCUUGGACCUGGUAAGUGAAAUUUGGUGGCAGACAGCAUGGAGGAGAUUUUCAAAAGCACAAAGGACAGGUAGUUGAAAGUCAAUGGGAGUUAGCUGCCUAACUUCCAUUUGUGCCUUUCACCUUCUGUGUUGUCCUGACCAUGAG